rnacentral:tRNA from 1 species
AGCCUGGUGGCGCAGUGGUUAAAGCACUAGACUGCUAACCAAAAGGUUGGUGGUUCAAAACCACCUUCGGCUC